UCCAAGAAAUGGUAAGUGAUAUUCGGUUACGUGUUUUUUUGGUGUUUUGAAGCCGCAUUGUCUUGCCCGAUAUUUGUUUUGGCUAACGCGUGCCUCGAGUUCAACGAUGUGGAAGUUUACGAGCCAUUAGACAACGACGAGCAGCAAAGAGAGGAAACUCUGUGUUAAUCUAUCAGGAUGACGAUGCAAAGCACGAUCUUGAACAUGGACCCAGGUUGAAGCACUGACAUCGAACGUUUCCACGAUGCAACGGUAUAUUUUUUUCGAAUGACAAGAUAAGAAAUGCUUCUGAAACACUCACAAAUUUCAUUAAUGCAUACAAAUAUCGUGAUCUUAAAGUGGUGCGAAGAUAGUGAUUUACGAACAGACGAAUUAUAGCGGAAACUCGUAUGCACAUGCAAUUACGAUAUGUUGCACCGACUAUAAAAAAAUUUCUUGGAAUAUCUUUACGAGAUUGACGUGGUUCAAUGCGAGAGUAAUUGCAAGUUGCCGCUUCUUUGAGUACGACUCUGUGCGCGCAAUUUGUCGGAUACUUAUAGCAACCAUUUAUCACGGAAGCAAAAUUAAUUUAGAUGCGUACCAUGUUGCAUUGGCGGCGUUCGUGCCGGACAUUUAACAUCUGUCUACGCCAUGCAUAUGCACAUGCUUACAUACGUGCCUAUGCAAAUCCAUGUGUUUUACCUCUUCGCAGCAUUCAUUCGAAACAGAGCAGUGAAACCGUAUGCAAACGCCGGCUAAAGUAAAUAUAUAUUUUAAUGUAUACAGUACAAUUUACCUACGGUAAUAACUGGGUAGAAAUGCGCGGAGAAGCGUGCUCCGCAUUUAAUCUUG